rnacentral:rRNA from 1 species
ACAGAGGUGGCAAGCGUUGUUCGGAUUUAUUGGGCGUAAAGGGUCCGUAGGCGGCCUGAAAAGUUGGAUGUGAAAUCCCACAGCUUAACUGUGGAACUGCAUUCAAAACUUUCAGGCUCGAGUGUGAUAGGGGUAAAGGGAAUUCCCGGUGGGAGGAUUAACUCUGCCGAGAGCGGGAGGGAGAGAAGUCGCGAAGGCGAGUAACUGGAACUCGACUCACGAUUAGGGACGUAACUCAGGGGAGGGAUCGG